UGUCGACUUCCGCUUAGAUCAGUCGGUGAAAGGAAAGUGAUUUCGUUUAUUUUCAAGCAGAUUGUUCGACAGAAAGCAUCAACAUGGUGGAGAUCGGAUCGGGACCAAUUAAGGAAAGCAUCGACAACUCGGUGUUUAUUAUACCGGGGAUAAUUAUAGGAUUCCUAGUCAUAUUUUUCACAUACAAACUUGUGAAAAGCCUUAGAGACAAAGAAAAAGCAAAAGAAGAAAAGAAAAAGUUGAAGCAACAAAGAAAAGAAAAAGAAACUUCUAAACGAGUAAAAAAGACCAAGGCAACUUAGUUCCACAUAUAGACACAAUUUUUAAUUUGGGUACAUGUUAAGGAAAGAAAAUCACUAGCUAUGAGGAAGACAGUUUGCAAAUGUGAUUGAAAAAAGACCUGUGAAAUUUGGUAAAUCAAAAUAUGAAAAGGUGUUUAAAAAAAUAAAUAAUGAUGAUUUUAUAAUAGUAAAGAAGCUGUUUUUAAGUUUAGUUAUCAUGGAUUACAUCAUUUAUAUAAGACAAAAUGUGCAAUAUGCAUUGAAUGUAGUAAGCCUAGCUGAAAGGUUUCUAAUUGAAAAUUCUGGACACAACAUUCUGAGUUUUUAUGCAUUGAAGUCAGAUGAAAUUUCCAUCAUCAUCUGAACAACAAUUUAGAAAGUGUGGCCAAGUCCCAACACGAUUUGACAUCAUCCAGUUAUACAUGCAAAGUUUACCAAAUGAAAUGGAUUGUUCAGGAUUGAUAUUGAAAGACGCAGUGAAGACUCAUGUGCAACAGAAUACAAGAAAAUAUCAAUCUUAUUUUGGCUUGGCCACUUUAAGGAAUAACAGACAGAGAAUAUUAGUUGUAGAACCAAUAGACUUAGGAAUUUAUUAAAAUUGUGUGUUAUGACAGUUGAAAUUGUGCGACAUGCAGUUCUAUCUUGUGAUUGUUUACUUAUAUAUUUAUUUAAAAGAUUUGUUGUUACUUAUUUCUAUGAAGAAAAACAAAACAAAUCCUUUCUUUUUAAUAGUAAAUUAAAAAAAUUACCAGUGCAUUUUUGUAUAAGUUCUGGCAUGUGUAAAAACAUCAAUAUCUAUCUAUUUUUUAUUUGUAAAAUAUAAAAUAAAAUAUUUUAAUUAUUUUGAAGCUUUUUUCAUUGUUUUUUUUUCCCAUAAAGAUGGAGAAAAAAAAUCCAUGGAGAUAAAUAAUAUCAUAAAAAUGAAAAAAAAUUGAAAUUUGACAUUAUGUUCUUUUCAUGGUACUUGUCACACUUGCAUUGAAAAUGGUACUACUGGGCUAGUUGUCUCCCUUAGAUUGCAAUUACUAAGUAAAGUAUUACAAAAUUAGAUUAAGUGUAAGUUAUUAGUGUUUUCAUAUUUCAAUUAUUUUUAAUGCUUUUAUUUUUAUUUAUGUGAUCAGUGAUUUUUUAACCUGCGAGUCCUGCAUCCUGGACUCACAAAAACUCUGGGGAUGCAAAGUUUCGGAAUAUGUGAGUCCCAAAAUGCUUCUUAAAUAUUUCUUAAAAAUAUUUCUUAAAAAAAAAGUUUUAUAUUAAGACUCAUUCUUUCAAUUUGGGGACUCAUAGAUUUGCAAGUUAUUAAGUCCCAGGAUUCAGAUGAGAAAAUUUGUAAAAAUAUCACUGUGUGAUGAUGAAGUAUUAUCAAACAUAUUACUAAUAGCAGUUGACUUCCUAUACUAGUAUCUAAAAAACUGCUUAAUCUUUGUUAUUAUUAUAAUAUGACAUGUACAUACAUGUACUUAAGUUACGUUUUAUGUUAUGGAACUUGUUUUUGUGUGUGUACAUUCCAUUAUUUGUCAAUCAUGAUGUGUCAAAGUUUUCAAACAGUUAUCGUUAUUAUUAUAUGUAGUCAAUUAUGUAAAAGUGUUGUGUUUUCUUGACAUAGAUAUAGUACUUAGUGUCUUUAUGUGUGUAAUUGUAAAUAAAUGAAAUCACAAAAUUAAUAAUCAUGAUUAUUUUAGUAAUUUUACUUAUUUUCAUUAUCUUGUUGAAACAGAUAAAAACUAAAGUAAUUGUUUCAUUUAAACAUACUUUAGAUCUAUGUUUACUUGUGAUCUACCAAACUAAGGACACAUGAUUUGUAACCAAUGAGCAGCUCAUUUCCUAAAUUAUCUGUCAAAGUUGUAUAAUUUGUUUCAUAUUAAUGUAUAUUUAGCUACUGUUACUUUUAACAUUCAUUUCCUAAUACACUAGCUUAGCUGUUCCAUUUUUACAUUUGUGGAUUGAAGGCCUACAGAUCUUUUCAGCCAUAAAUGAAUGUAUGCUAAUAGGUCUUUAUCUUUCAAGAGACAAAUUGUGUUGUGUGUAUUCUUUCAUUUCAUGGAACACUUUUUACCAUUCUUAUGGAAGUAUUUAAAUGUGUUGAUGUUUGAGAGUAAAUUCAUGGUGGAGCGAAAAAUAAAGAUAUUAUUCAAGAUGUU